GCGGGUGUGGUGGAAUUGGUAGACGCAGCGGACUCAAAAUCCGCCGCCGCAAGGCAUGCCGGUUCGAGUCCGGCCACCCGCACCA
rnacentral:tRNA from 1 species